AAUCAACGCUGGCGGCGUGCCUAACACAUGCAAGUCGCACGAGAAAGGGCAGCAAUGCCUGAGUACAGUGGCGCACGGGUGAGUAACACGUGAAUGAUCUACCUCCGAGUGGGGAAUAACUGAGAGAAAUCUUAGCUAAUACCGCAUAACACUUACGAGUCAAAGCAGCAAUGCGCUUGGAGAGGAGUUCGCGGCAGAUUAGUUAGNGGCGGGGUAAUGGCCCACCAAGACGAUGAUCUGUAUCCGGCCUGAGAGGGCGCACGGACACACUGGAACUGAAACACGGUCCAGACUCCUACGGGAGGCAGCAGUGGGGAAUUUUGCGCAAUGGGGGAAACCCUGACGCAGCAACGCCGCGUGGAGGAUGAAAUCCCUGGGAUGUAAACUCCUUUCGAUCGGGAAGAUAAUGACGGUACCGAGAGAAGAAGCCC
rnacentral:rRNA from 1 species